rnacentral:rRNA from 1 species
GAUGAACGCUGGCGGCAGGCCUAACACAUGCAAGUCGAGCGGCAGCGGGUUCCCGCGAGGGGAUGCCGGCGAGCGGCGGACGGGUGAGGAACACAUCGGAAUCUGCCUGGUUGUGGGGGAUAACGUAGGGAAACUUACGCUAAUACCGCAUGAGACCCUGAGUCGACGGACUGGGGGUGAAAGUGAGGGACCUUCGGGCCUCACGCGACCAGAUGAGCCGAUGUCGGAUUAGCUAGUUGGCGGGGUAACGGCCCGCCAAGGCGACGAUCCGUAGCUGGUCUGAGAGGAUGAUCAGCCACACUGGGACUGAGACACGGCCCAGACUCCUAUGGGAGGCAGCAGUGGGGAAUCUUGGACAAUGGCGCAAGCCUGAUCCAGCCAUGCCGC